GGGGAUGCCAGGCAUCGACAGUUGGAUUUUUUCUAAAUAUUCAAAGCGUGCUUAGCUGUCACGUUAAACCGGCUAAAAAACAUAAAUGUCAAAAAGACAAAAGCAUUUACUUGGAAUGUUCCAAGUUAUGCACCAGUUUUAGCUUAAAUACAAGCUUAAACCAUCAAAAAUAGUAAUUUCUCAUAGCUAUUUCUUGGUGUCAUAAUCAUGAGGAUAUAUUUAAUUUUCUUUCUCGAAAUUAAAUUGAAUUAAAUAGAGAAAUCGCUUGAAUCGCUUUUUGCCAGGUUUAUUAUGAUUCAGGUUAAAUCCAAUAAAUCAGGCUAUCUUUGUAAAUGUGUUUAGAAAAACCGAUUGGACAUGGGUUCAACUCCCAUCAUCUCCACAU
rnacentral:tmRNA from 1 species